rnacentral:tRNA from 1 species
GCGCCCGUAACUCAACGGUUAGAGUUCUCGUCUUAUAAGCGAGCGGUUGUUGGUUCGAUUCCAACCGGGCGCACCA